rnacentral:rRNA from 1 species
GACAGAGGGUGCAAACGUUGUUCGGAAUUACUGGGCGUAAAGCGCGUGUAGGCGGUUCGUUAUGUCGGAUGUGAAAGCCCUUGGCUUAACCGAGGAAGUGCAUCCGAAACUGGCGAGCUAGAGUACUAAAGAGGAUCGCGGAAUUCCCGGUGUAGAGGUGAAAUUCGUAGAUAUUCGCAAGAACACCAGUGGCGAAGGCGGCUCACUGGCCCGAUACUGACGCUGAGGCACGAAAGCGUGGGGAGCAAACAGG